rnacentral:tRNA from 1 species
CAGAUAUUAGUUUUAUAAAAAUAUUAAUUUUGGAGAUUAAAGAUGGUAUAGCGCCAUAUCUGA